UCAAACCUGUAAAGUUCAUUCAAAAUGGGCAUUAGUGUGCAUAGUGCCCAUUUGGUAGUCCCACAAGCACUUUAGCGAUUCGGCUUAUGCUAAUUUCAUUUCCCAGUCUGCUGUCAUGCGGCACUAGCAAAUGCACAAGUGCAGUACUUUCAAAACAUAUUUCAUAGUACUCUUUGUUGAGAAAUGUAUAUCUAUUUUUUAAUUCAUAUAAGCUUCCAAAGAGCCAUUACAGACUCAAUGCCUACUUUUACACAAUGGGUGUUGAACACAAACCAAUGUAAACAAUAUAACAUUAUUUUUAUGGGCUUUUGAUGAAUGCCAUUUCCAUUCAUUUUUUUGUGGGGAAAGAUGAUUUGGGAUAAGUCCCAGUGGGGAUCUGAUGUCAAUUUGACAUAAAUUUUGUAUUAAAAACGUGCUUGAUAUAAGAUCAAUAUAAUGUCAAACACUUUGUUGAUUUUGACUCAUGUCAUAUUGAUAUUUAAUUGACAUCAGAUGCCCACUGGGGUGUUUUUGAGUGAUGAGCAUGGUUAUGAAACAAUUAAACUAGUGUCUCAAGUCGCCACUGUACGUCACUCUUAUGUAAGAGGCCCAUAAAAGUUGGCAAAAAUCCUAAAUUAUUUAAGACGUUCACAUUAAUAUAGUAUAAAAGGGAGCUAUCCAGACUUUACCCAAACAGCAUUCCCAUGCCUGCUCAGCUUGGAUAAAAGUUUUCUCAGUAUACUUUUUUCACAUCUUUUAAGCGUCAACAGGGUAAAGUGCAUUAAAUCCACUGUCAUGUCAACUAACAGAGGGAGAGAUCAUUCAGUCAAAAUAUCCAUGAGUCCUCCUCCAGACCUGCAGGGGGAAGAGAAAAAUCAGCCACAUCACAAUUCAACAAACUUCCUGUCAGAUGCCAGGGGCAUAUUGUCUACAGAUCAGCAUGUGAGCUCAGCUGGGGGAACAAACAAGGGAAAGCCUGUUAGUGAAAGAAAAAAAUGCUUAAACAGAGAAAGCAAAGAAAAAAAAACCCAAAGAGACUCCUCAGUUCCUGGUCAAACACAACUGGUUAUCAACCUAAUUACCCUCUAAUUAACCUUGCCAUAGACUGCAAAAAGAGAA